AUACCAACUGAGAGAUCUUUGGCUCUCUAAGCCAAGCUCUUAGGCCUUAGGUCUAAAAAGCUACUCGUAACCUGGUCUGGAGGCCACUGAAGUACAUAAUCUUAAUAAAAGCAACUCUGACCAUUUAUAAAAGAUAGAACCAAAAAUGGUGUUUACAUACCCAUUUCAGCUAAAAACCCCAGUGGAGCUUGGAGUGUGUCUUCAGGACAAGCAGCAUCAGCAUCACCUGGGAACUUGUUAGAUAUGCAGAUUCUUAGGAUGCAUCCCAGACCUAACGAAUAAACCUCUCCAGGUGGAGCCCAGCCAGCUGGUUUAACAAGCCCUCCAGGUGAUUCGAAUGCACACUGAAGUCUGAGAACCACUGCUUUAAGGUGAGGAUACAACGAGAAGGCGGCAGUCCCCCAAGCUGGAAGAGGACACCAGAUACCAGAUCUGCCAGCACCCUGAUCCUGGACUUCCCACCCUCCAGAACCGUGAAAACUAAGUGUCUGUGGUCUAAGCCACCCAGUCUGUGGUCAUUCGUUAUAACAGCCAAACUAAGAUAAUUCAUCAUUUUAUUCUCCAAUAAGUCAUCAAAUUAAAUAAUCCGUUAUUUUAAGCUUUCCUCUAAGUCAUUCUAUGCUACCGUUUUCGUCUAAGAGCAAUUCAUAAAUGUUCAUGAUUAUAGUCUUAAAUUUUAGGAUUUCCUAUAGCAGAAGUUGGCAAAAUUUUUCUCUAGAGGACCAGAUAGCAAAUAUUUUAGGCCCUGUGGGCCACAUGGUCAUUGUUGCAACUACUCAAUACAGCCUGCAGUCAAGGCAGUGUCUAUGCCAGGAACU
rnacentral:lncRNA from 1 species